rnacentral:rRNA from 1 species
GUUUGAGGACCCCUGCCCUAAACUCACCAGAUUCUGUCUGAUCUUGAAAACUAAGUAGGGAUUAUCCUUGUUAGUACUUGGAUGGGAGACCACCAAUGAAUACCAGGUGCUGUAGGCU